GACGAACGCUGGCGGCGUGCUUAACACAUGCAAGUCGAACGGAAAGGCCCUGCUUGCAGGGUACUCGAGUGGCGAACGGGUGAGUAACACGUGGGUGAUCUGCCCUGCACUUCGGGAUAAGCCUGGGAAACUGGGUCUAAUACCGGAUAGGAGCCAUUUUUAGUGUGAUGGUUGGAAAGUUUUUUCGGUGUAGGAUGAGCUCGCGGCCUAUCAGCUUGUUGGUGGGGUAAUGGCCUACCAAGGCGGCGACGGGUAGCCGGCCUGAGAGGGUGGACGGCUACAUUGGGACUGAGAUACGGCCCAGACUCCUACGGGAGGCAGCAGUGGGGAAUAUUGCACAAUGGGCGCAAGCCUGAUGCAGCGACGCCGCGUGGGGGAUGACGGCCUUCGGGUUGUAAACUUCUUUCGCUAGGGACGAAGCUUUUUGUGACGGUACCUAGAUAAGAAGCACCGGCUAACUACGUG
rnacentral:rRNA from 1 species